GCUUGGAGCCGCAGGGCUUAAUCCCGCGCGGCUCAGAGAUGGGUUUCUGGACUCGCGAAGCAGCUGCAACAAGGCAUCACUCACUGUAUAAGUACUUCCAUUUCUGAGAGCAAAAGGAAGAACUUAAGCGGGCGGCACUUGGAGUGUAAAUUGCUUUGUAGUAUUUAAAGGCAGAAUGGAUCCUGGGCAGCCGAGCUGAUCAUGAGGCUCCUGAGGCCUCCUAGCCAUGUUUCCUGUGCAGCCUAUGGAACUCAACAAACUGGCAGGACUUCCUGUGAAAUCAUGACCACCAUGUGCUCUUUCAGCCUCCAUCAAUUCCUACCUCUAAGCACCUGAGAGCCAAAGCAAACCACAGGAAACCACAGGUACUAACUCUUUUAGACCUGAUGAAGUGUCUCCCAAAUACAGUCUGGCAUGACUCAAACUAAACAUCAGCUUUUCCCGGCUCUCAAGCCUGCUGGUCCCUGAACUAAAACUCACAUUAUCAACUCUACUGGUUCUUAGGCCUUUGGAGUCAGACUGGAACUACAGCAUUGACUCUUCCGGAACUCCAGGUUACUGAUUACAGAUCUUGGAACUUUUCAGCUUCCACAACCAUAAUGAAAGCCAAGCAUAUUCCAUCAUUUCCUAAAACCAAGAUAGAGCACAUACGGGAACUUGCGAAAUAAGGAAACCAAAGCACAAAGAGAGAAAGAAAAGAAAGAGAAAAAAGGAAGAAAGAAAAGAAAGAUGAAAGAAAGAAAGAAAGAGAAAGAAGAGAGAGGGAGAGAGAGAAAGAAAGAAAGAGAAGGAAAGAAAGAAAGAAGGAAAGAGAAAGAAAGAAAGAGAAAGAAGAGAGAGGGAGAGCGAGAAAGAAAGAAGGAAAGAAAGAAGGAAAGGAAAGAAAGAAAGAAAGAAAGAAAGAAAGAAAGAAAGAAAGAAAGAAAGAAGGAAGGAAAAGAAACACAUGGAAAGUGACAGGCUUCCUUUGUAUAUCACCUUGCAUGGUAAAGUGCAGAGAGCUCCAUCAGAGAAAUGCAGUUAAAAUCCAGUAGAUACCACCGUACACCUGAAAGACUUGUGAACAAACAGAUGACAGAAAAACAAAACAAAGCAAAACAGAACCUGAGAAUUUGAAUUGCUGGUGAGGAUAUUGAGUAAGUGGAAUUCCUAUACUUUGCUGGAGGGAAUGGAAAAUAGUACAGGCAAUUUGGAAAAGAGUUAGACUGUUGUAUAUAAAAUUAAAUACAUACUUACCUUACAAAGUAGGAAUCUCAUUCCUAGAUGUCUUCCUAAGAAAAUUGCAAACUUUAUGUUCAAACAAAAACGAAUGUAAACAUUCACCUACAGGUGAAUGGAUAAAUACAUUGAGAUAAAUCUAUGCAAUAAUACAUAUUACUCAACAAUGAAAAGGAAUUCACUACUGAUAUGUGAAACAUGGUAGACUGAGUAAUGCCUUCCCUUCUUUCCAAAGAUGUCCAUGUCCUAAUCCCUAGAACCUGUGAUGUUACUUUAUCUGGAAAAUUAAACUUUGUAGAUGUGAUUAAAUUAAUAAUUUUUAGCUGGGUACAUCAUCUUGGAUUAUCUGGUGGGCCUGAUGUAAUCACAGGGGUUCUUAUAGGAGGGAGGCAGGAAAUCAGAGAGAGGAAAAAAGGUGUGGAGAAAUAUGUGACAACAGAAACAAUAAUAAAAUGAUUAAAAUGACACAAACAGGAGCCAAGGAAUGCUAUAAGCAUCUGAAAUCUGAAGGCAGCAGGUAAUGGAUACUCCCCUGGAGCCUGUAGAAGAAACCAGCCUCCUGACACCUUGAUUUCAGAAAAAGUAUUUUAAAUUUCUCACCUAGAAGUGUAAAAAAUAUAUAUAAAUAAAUUUGUGUUGUUUUAUGCCAGUAAUUUUGUGAUAUUUUGUUACAACAAUAGGAAAUUAAUAUACCCAGCAAUGCAGAUGAAUCUCCAAAGCAUCAUGCUAAGUGAAAGAGUACUUGUUGCUGGAUAAAAUUAAAUUGUGUGUUGUAUUUUGCGUAUGCACAUAGAAGUACUCAUUCUGAUAAAAUCUAAUCCAAGUGAAAAAGUAAAAUAUCCACCAUAUUUUUUCCCCUCAACUAUGAUUAUCCCUGCCUUCUACUUUUAUUUUAAACUUCAUUUCCAAAAUUUAUGUACCAAUUUUUCAUUCUGCAGUUGAAUGUUGUAUUGAAUCUUGUACUAAGAGAAUGUCACCCAUAUUCGGGGUUUAUUUUAUUCUCUUUCCCUCUUUCUGCUCAGACUUCUUCAAACAUCUUUCUUCUCUAGUAAUUUUUUUUCCCAAUUGUCCUAGUGUGUUUUUUCAAUUUGCUGAUGUUCAAGGAAAACCCAUUGAGGUUUAAAAAUAUUAUGUUGGUAAUUUUUUUUCUAAAAAUAAGAAACAGAUUUAUACUUAAAAUAUUUACUAUAAGGAUUGACACUGGUGCUCUUUCUUGGGCCAUUUAUUGGAUAAUCAAGCAUCAUGACCUUAGGUAACAAGCAAGGUAGCCUGCCAGAGUAUUACACAAUCCAAAAGAGCUGAUUUGCUUUCAUCAGAUUUUGCCCAUUAAAGAGAUUUAUAGAUUUCAUAAUCUUAAAUAGCACAAAAAAUCCCAAUACUUAGUAAUGAGAUAGAUCAAGACCAUGACAGUCAUCUGAACACAUAGAUGUUUGCUGGAAAAAAAUGUAUC